rnacentral:rRNA from 1 species
AGCUAGUUGGUGGGGUAAAAGCUCACCAAGGCGACGAUCUGUAGCGGGUCUGAGAGGAUGAUCCGCCACACUGGAACUGAGACACGGUCCAGACUCCUACGGGAGGCAGCAGUGGGGAAUUUUGGACAAUGGGGGCAACCCUGAUCCAGCCAUGCCGCGUGAGUGAAGAAGGCCUUCGGGUUGUAAAGCUCUUUCGGCCGGGAAGAAAUCGUAUCAGCUAAUACCUGGUGCGGAUGACGGUACCGGCAUAAGAAGCACCGGCUAACUACGUGCCAGCAGCCGCGGUAAUACGUAGGGUGCGAGCGUUAAUCGGAAUUACUGGGCGUAAAGCGUGCGCAGGCGGUUUUGUAAGACAGGCGUGAAAUCCCCGGGCUCAACCUGGGAACUGCGUUUGUGACUGCAAGGCUAGAGUACGGCAGAGGGGGGUGGAAUUCCACGUGUAGCAGUGAAAUGCGUAGAGAUGUGGAGGAACACCAAUGGCGAAGGCAGCCCCCUGGGUCGAUACUGACGCUCAUGCACGAAAGCGUGGGUAGCAAACAGGAUUAGAUACCCUGGUAGUCCACGCCCUAAACGAUGUCAACUAGGUGUUGGGAGGGUAAAACCUUUUAGUACCGGAGCUAACGCGUGAAGUUGACCGCCUGGGGAGUACGGCCGCAAGGUUAAAACUCAAAGGAAUUGACGGGGACCCGCACAAGCGGUGGAUGAUGUGGAUUAAUUCGAUGCAACGCGAAAAACCUUACCUACCCUUGACAUGUCAGGAACUUUCCAGAGAUGGAUUGGUGCUCGAAAGAGAACCUGAACACAGGUGCUGCAUGGCUGUCGUCAGCUCGUGUCGUGAGAUGUUGGGUUAAGUCCCGCAACGAGCGCAACCCUUGUCGUUAAUUGCCAUCAUUAAGUUGGGCACUUUAGCGAGACUGCCGGUGACAAACCGGAGGAAGGUGGGGAUGACGUCAAGUCCUCAUGGCCCUUAUGGGUAGGGCUUCACACGUCAUACAAUGGUCGGUACAAAGGGUCGCCAACCCGCGAGGGGGAGCUAAUCCCAGAAAGCCGAUCGUAGUCCGGAUUGCAGGCUGCAACUCGCCUGCAUGAAGUCGGAAUCGCUAGUAAUCGUGGAUCAGCAUGUCACGGUGAAUACGUUCCCGGGUCUUGUACACACCGCCCGUCACACCAUGGGAGCGGGUUCCGCCAGAAGUAGGUAGCCUAACCGCAAGGAGGGCGCUUACCACGGCGGGGUUCGUGACUGGGGUGAAGUCGGAACAAGGUAGCCGUAGGGGAACCUGCGGCUG